UUUGGUUAAGUUAGAAAGGGCGCACGGUGGAUGCCCUUGAACACUAGGAGUCGAUGAAGGACGGGUAACGCCGAUAUGCUUCGGGGAGCUGUAAGUUAAGCCUUUGAUCCGAAGAUUUCCGAAUGGGGAAACCCACCAUACGUAAUGGUAUGGUAUCCUUAUCUGAAUACAUAGGGUAAGGAAGACAGACCCAGGGAACUGAAACAUCUAAGUACCUGGAGGAAGAGAAAGCAAAUGCGAUUUCCUGAGUAGCGGCGAGCGAAACGGGAACAUAGCCCAAACCAAGAGGCUUGCCUCUUGGGGUUGUAGGACAUUCUAUACGGAGUUAAAAGGAACGAGGUAGACGAAGCGACCUGGAAAGGUCCGUCGUAGAGGGUAACAACCCCGUAGUCGAAACUUCGUUCUCUCUUGAAUGUAUCCUGAGUACGGCGGAACACGUGAAAUUCCGUCGGAAUCUGGGAGGACCAUCUCCCAAGGCUUAAUACUCCCUAGUGAUCGAUAGUGAACCAGUACCGUGAGGGAAAGGUGAAAAGCACCCCGGAAGGGGAGUGAAAGAGGUUCCUGAAACCGUGUGCCUACAAAUAGUCAGAGCCCGUUAACGGGUGAUGGCGUGCCUUUUGUAGAAUGAACCGGCGAGUUACGCUCCCGUGCGAGGUUAAGCUGAAGAGGCGGAGCCGCAGCGAAAGCGAGUCUGAAUAGGGCGUUUAGUACGUGGCCGUAGACCCGAAACCAGGUGAUCUACCCAUGUCCAGGGUGAAGUUCAGGUAACACUGAAUGGAGGCCCGAACCCACGCACGUUGAAAAGUGCGGGGAUGAGGUGUGGGUAGCGGAGAAAUUCCAAUCGAACCUGGAGAUAGCUGGUUCUCCCCGAAAUAGCUUUAGGGCUAGCCUUAAGUGUAAGAGUCUUGGAGGUAGAGCACUGAUUGGACUAGGGGUCCUCAUCGGAUUACCGAAUUCAGUCAAACUCCGAAUGCCAAUGACUUAUCCUUAGGAGUCAGACUGCGAGUGAUAAGAUCCGUAGUCAAAAGGGAAACAGCCCAGACCGCCAGCUAAGGUCUCCAAAGUGUGUAUUAAGUGGAAAAGGAUGUGGAGUUGCUUAGACAACUAGGAUGUUGGCUUAGAAGCAGCCAACCAUUUAAAGAGUGCGUAAUAGCUCACUAGUCGAGUGACUCUGCGCCGAAAAUGUACCGGGGCUUAAAUACACCACCGAAGCUGCGGAUUGAUACCAAUGGUAUCAGUGGUAGGGGAGCGUUCUAAGGACAGUGAAGUCAGACCGGAAGGACUGGUGGAGAGCUUAGAAGUGAGAAUGCCGGUAUGAGUUGCGUAAGACGGGUGAGAAUCCCGUCCACCGAAUGCCUAAGGUUUCCUGAGGAAGGCUCGUCCGCUCAGGGUUAGUCAGGACCUAAGCCGAGGCCGACAGGCGUAGGCGAUGGACAACAGGUUGAUAUUCCUGUACCACCUCUUUAUCGGUUGGAGCAAUGGAGGGACGCAGAAGGAUAGAAGAAGCGUGCGAUUGGUUGUGCACGUCCAAGCAGUUAGGCUGAUAAGUUGGGCAAAUCCGCUUAUCGUGAAGGCUGAGCUGUGAUGGGGAAGCUCCUUAUGGAGCGAAGUCUUUGAUUCCCCGCUGCCAAGAAAAGCUUCUAGCGAGAUAAAGGCACCUUGUACCGCAAACCGACACAGGUAGGCGAGGAGAGAAUCCUAAGGUGUGCGAGAGAACUCUGGUUAAGGAACUCGGCAAAAUGACCCCGUAACUUCGGGAGAAGGGGUGCUUUCUUAACGGGAAAGCCGCAGUGAAUAGGCCCAAGCGACUGUUUAGCAAAAACACAGCUCUCUGCGAAGCCGUAAGGCGAAGUAUGGGGGGGACACCUGCCCGGUGCUGGAAGGUUAAGGAGAGGGGUUAGCGUAAGCGAGGUCUGAACUGAAGCCCCAGUAAACGGCGGCCGUAACUAUAACGGUCCUAAGGGAAGCGAAAUUCCUUGUCGGGUAAGUUCCGACCCGCACGAAAGGUGUAACGAUUUGGGCACUGUCUCAACCAGAGACUCGGUGAAAUUAUAGUUCCCUGUGGAAGAUGCAGGUUACCCGCGACAGGACGGAAAGACCCCGUGGAGCUUUACUGUAGCCUGAUAUUGAAUUUUGGUACAGUUUGUACAGGAUAGGCGGGAGCCUUUGAAACCGGAGCGCUAGCUUCGGUGGAGGCGCUGGUGGGGUACCGCCCUGACUGUAUUG
rnacentral:rRNA from 1 species